rnacentral:rRNA from 1 species
GGUGAACGCUGGCGGCGUGCCUAAUACAUGCAAGUCGAGCGAACGGACGAGAAGCUUGCUUCUCUGAUGUUAGCGGCGGACGGGUGAGUAACACGUGGAUAACCUACCUAUAAGACUGGGAUAACUUCGGGAAACCGGAGCUAAUACCGGAUAAUAUUUUGAACCGCAUGGUUCAAAAGUGAAAGACGGUCUUGCUGUCACUUAUAGAUGGAUCCGCGCUGCAUUAGCUAGUUGGUAAGGUAACGGCUUACCAAGGCAACGAUGCAUAGCCGACCUGAGAGGGUGAUCGGCCACACUGGAACUGAGACACGGCCCAGACUCCUACGGGAGGCAGCAGUAGGGAAUCUUCCGCAAUGGGCGAAAGCCUGACGGAGCAACGCCGCGUGAGUGAUGAAGGUCUUCGGAUCGUAAAACUCUGUUAUUAGGGAAGAACAUAUGUGUAAGUAACUGUGCACAUCUUGACGGUACCUAAUCAGAAAGCCACGGCUAACUACGUG